rnacentral:rRNA from 1 species
CGGCUCAGUAACACGUGGAUAACCUACCCUCAGAUCUGGGAUAACUCCGGGAAACUGGAGAUAAUACCGGAUAAUCCGUGAACGCUGGAAUGCCUUACGGUUGAAAGCUUUAGCGUCUGAGGAUGGGUCUGCGGCCGAUUAGGUAGUUGCUGGGGUAACGUCCCAACAAGCCGAUAAUCGGUACGGGUUGUGAGAGCAAGAGCCCGGAGAUGGAUUCUGAGACACGAAUCCAGGUCCUACGGGGCGCAGCAGGCGCGAAAACUUUACGCUGCGCGAAAGCGCGAUAAGGGGACCUCGAGUGCGUGCGCAAUGCGUACGCUUUUCAGAUGCCUAAAAAGCAUCUGGAAUAAGGGCCGGGCAAGACCGGUGCCAGCCGCCGCGGUAACACCGGCGGCUCAAGUGGUGGCCGCUAUUAUUGGGCUUAAAGGGUCCGUAGCCGGACCAGUUAGUCCCUUGGGAAAUCUUACGGCUUAACCGUAAGGCUGCCAAUGGAUACUGCUGGUCUUGGGACCGGGAGAGGCAAGAGGUACCUCAGGGGUAGGAGUGAAAUCCUGUAAUCCUUGAGGGACCGCCAGUGGCGAAGGCGUCUUGCUAGAACGGGUCCGACGGUGAGGGACGAAAGCUAGGGGCACGAACCGGAUUAGAUACCCGGGUAGUC